CCGAGUUUACAACUCCCAAACCCCUGUGAACAUACCAUGUUGCUUCGGCGGCUGCUUCGGCGCCCGCCGAGGGUCUAAACUAUAUCUUUAAACGAAUUAUCUGAGUCAAACACAAAUAAUCA
rnacentral:misc_RNA from 1 species